rnacentral:rRNA from 1 species
GACGAACGCUGGCGGCGUGCUUAACACAUGCAAGUCGAACGGAAAGGCCCCUUUGGGGGUACUCGAGUGGCGCACGGGUGAGUAACACGUGCGUGACCUUCCCUUGACUUCGGGAUAACUUCAGGAAACUGGGGCUAAUACCGGAUAGGAAUCCUUGCUGCAUGGUGGGGGUUGGAAAGCUUCGGCGGUUUUGGAUGGACUGGAGGGUUAUUAGCUUGUUGGUGAGGUAGUGGCUUACCAAGGCUUCGACGGGUAGCCGCCCUGAGGGGGCGACCGGCCACCCAGGAACUGAGACACGGUACAGUCUGCGACGGGUGGCAGAAGUGGGGAAUCUUGCGCCAUGCGCGGAAGGCGGACGGAGCGGCGCCGCGUGAGUGACGAAGGUCUUCGCAUGGUAGAACUCUGUGAUUAGGGAAGAACAUAUGUAUAAGUAACUUUGCACAUCUUGACGGUCCCUAAUCAGAAGGCAACGGCUAACUCCGUG